UUUCGGCCCCCUUUUUUAUUUGAAGGGUUCGUUUUUGGGGGAUGGUUCCCUAAGGGAGGAAGGGCCCUUUAAGGAAAAACCUCCUUGCAAGGUCGGCCGUUUUUUUGGGUUCCCUGGCCGUUUAACAUGGCCUUUUUGCUCCACUUGUUCCCUUCCAUGCGGUUAUCCCCCCGGUUUUUGCGGAUAACCAGUAUUACCCGCUUCUGAUUGAGGCUGAUACCGCUACCCGGCAGCCGGAGCGUCCAGAGCGCAACGAAGUCAGUAGAGCGACGCAAUAGGAAGAGCGGCCCAAUUCCGCAAACCGUCGUCUGCCUCUUGGUCAUUUAGAGGAAGUAAAAGUCGUAACAAGGUCUCCGUUGGUGAACCAGCGGAGGGAUCAUUACAGAGUAUUCUACUCACCAAACCCAUGUGAACUUACCUUUGUUGCUUCGGCGGGCAUCAGCCCGCCGGGGGUAUACCAAACUCUUGAAUCUUCGUGAGAAUUCUGAAGUAAAAAGAUUAAUAAAUCAAAACUUUCAACAACGGAUCUCUUGGUUCUGGCAUCGAUGAAGAACGCAGCGAAAUGCGAUAAGUAAUGUGAAUUGCAGAAUUCAGUGAAUCAUUGAAUCUUUGAACGCACAUUGCGCCUAUUAGUAUUCUAGUAGGCAUGCCUGUUCGAGCGUCAUUUCACCCCUCAAGCUUCAUUGCUUGGUGUUGAGACCUUGCCCGCCCCCCGGCGGCAAGUCUCUAAAUGCAGUGGCAAGAUCAGAACAACUCUGAGCGUAGUAAACUUAUUAUCUCGCUUUGGCCAGUUGUCUUGGUAUUCGCCAUCAAGCCUAUUUAUUUUCUGAAUAGUUGACCUCGGAUCAGGUAGGAAUACCCGCUGAACUUAAGCAUAUCAAUAAGCGGAGGA
rnacentral:rRNA from 1 species